rnacentral:lncRNA from 1 species
AUUAAGCUGCCCGGUGGCACUCCGGCCAAGAUUUUGGUUGUUGCAAAGACGAUCGUUGAACCAUUAUUUCAUCAUUCGCCAUCUCUGUUCACAUUUAACGUUUUUGAACACGGACUUUAACGCUCCAUCCAAGUUAUUUCCUCCUCCUCCAUCUCGCUCCCCAUUUUUGUAAGUUUCUUUGUUCGAGUUUUUGAAUUUUGAAAAGACAUUUGUAAAUUUAUAGCCCUUGAUGCUUUUGACUGAGGUGUUUAUGUCUUGAAGUAAUGAUGCCAUUGUGUUUCAAAGAGAUUAUACAUAAACACGACUAUUUCGUGAUUCGUGAAAUGGUGAUAGCUAGCUUCAUGAAAAUUACAAUGCUGUCAAAAUUUGGUUCCAAAUUAACGUAGUAUUCAGAUUAUUUGUCCAACUGAACUAUUGGAGCUAUUUCUCUCCUUGAUUAAUUGCCAGUUAAAAAAGUGUGAAUUGCAAGUUCUUAUCUUUGAUAUUUGCUAAUUUUUGAAAUUACCUUCUCUAUAUUUGAAUUAUUGGAUGACAUAAUCAUACACUAAUUUGCAAAUUAAUCCAGUUCAGAUCCAUUGCAUCAGUAAUAAAUUGUCAAAGAUGAUAACUAAUGCUGUUGUUAUUACUUUAAAUCAUAUCUGUUGUUAUUGUAUAUUCUUAUGCUAUUGGAUUGAUUCUCAAUAUCAUAGAUUAAACAGUAUUUUCUCCAUAUUGGUAAAGAGAAUAGUCACUUUAUAACUAUGAAUUAAAUGUACUUUUUUUUUCUACUUUUACAGGUUUACGAAUCUGCUCGUUUUAGCAUAAUAAUGGCUGGGUUGAAG